GGUGAGUAACGCGUAGGUAAUCUGCCUUACUGCGGGGGAUAACCAGAAGAAAUUCUGGCUAAUACCGCAUACGUAGUGUGAAAUGGGAAAAGCACUAGAAAGAAUGCCUCUGCUUGCAAGCAUUUACAGUAAGAUGAGCCUGCGUUGCAUUAGCUUGUUGGUGGGGUAAUGGCCUACCAAGGCAACGAUGCAUAGCUGGUCUGAGAGGAUGAUCAGUCACACUGGAACUGAGACACGGUCCAGACUCC
rnacentral:rRNA from 1 species